GACGAACCGUCCAAACGUUAUUCGGAAUCACUGGGCUUAAAGGGUGCGUAGGCGGUGCGGAAAGUUGGGUGUGAAAGCCCUCGGCUUAACCGAGGAAUGGCGCCCAAAACUACCGUGCUAGAGGAAGAUAGAGGUGAGCGGAACUUAGGGUGGAGCGGUGAAAUGCGUUGAUAUCCUAAGGAACACCAGUAGCGAAAGCGGCUCACUGGGUCUUUUCUGACGCUGAGGCACGAAAGCUAGGGGAG
rnacentral:rRNA from 1 species